rnacentral:rRNA from 1 species
GGUUAAGCGACUAAGCGUACACGGUGGAUGCCCUGGCAGUCAGAGGCGAUGAAGGACGUGCUAAUCUGCGAAAAGCGCCGGCGAGGUGAUAUGAACCUUUGACCCGGCGAUGUCCGAAUGGGGAAACCCAGUGUGAUUCGUCACACUAUCGUUAACUGAAUACAUAGGUUAACGAGGCGAACCGGGGGAACUGAAACAUCUAAGUACCCCGAGGAAAAGAAAUCAACCGAGAUUCCCCCAGUAGCGGCGAGCGAACGGGGAGCAGCCCAGAGUCUGAAUCAGCUUGUGUGUUAGUGGAACGGUCUGGAAAGUCCGGCGAUACAGGGUGACAGCCCCGUACACGAAAGCACACAGGCUGUGAACUCGAAGAGUAGGGCGGGACACGUGGUAUCCUGUCUGAAUAUGGGGGGACCAUCCUCCAAGGCUAAAUACUCCUGACUGACCGAUAGUGAACCAGUACCGUGAGGGAAAGGCGAAAAGAACCCCGGCGAGGGGAGUGAAAAAGAACCUGAAACCGUGUACGUACAAGCAGUGGGAGCACCUUCGUGGUGUGACUGCGUACCUUUUGUAUAAUGGGUCAGCGACUUAUAUUCUGUAGCAAGGUUAACCGUAUAGGGGAGCCGAAGGGAAACCGAGUCUUAACUGGGCGUUAAGUUGCAGGGUAUAGACCCGAAACCCGGUGAUCUAGCCAUGGGCAGGUUGAAGGUUGGGUAACACUAACUGGAGGACCGAACCGACUAAUGUUGAAAAAUUAGCGGAUGACUUGUGGCUGGGGGUGAAAGGCCAAUCAAACCGGGAGAUAGCUGGUUCUCCCCGAAAGCUAUUUAGGUAGCGCCUCGUGAACUCAUCUUCGGGGGUAGAGCACUGUUUCGGCUAGGGGGCCAUCCCGGCUUACCAACCCGAUGCAAACUACGAAUACCGAAGAAUGUUAUCACGGGAGACACACGGCGGGUGCUAACGUCCGUCGUGAAGAGGGAAACAACCCAGACCGCCAGCUAAGGUCCCAAAGUCAUGGUUAAGUGGGAAACGAUGUGGGAAGGCACAGACAGCCAGGAUGUUGGCUUAGAAGCAGCCAUCAUUUAAAGAAAGCGUAAUAGCUCACUGGUCGAGUCGGCCUGCGCGGAAGAUGUAACGGGGCUAAACCAUGCACCGAAGCUGCGGCAGCGACGCUUAUGCGUUGUUGGGUAGGGGAGCGUUCUGUAAGCCGUUGAAGGUGUCCUGUGAGGGGUGCUGGAGGUAUCAGAAGUGCGAAUGCUGACAUAAGUAACGAUAAAGCGGGUGAAAAGCCCGCUCGCCGGAAGACCAAGGGUUCCUGUCCAACGUUAAUCGGGGCAGGGUGAGUCGACCCCUAAGGCGAGGCCGAAAGGCGUAGUCGAUGGGAAACAGGUUAAUAUUCCUGUACUUGGUGUUACUGCGAAGGGGGGACGGAGAAGGCUAUGUUAGCCGGGCGACGGUUGUCCCGGUUUAAGCAUGUAGGCGGAACGAUUAGGUAAAUCCGGUCGUUUAUUAACGCUGAGGUGUGAUGACGAGGCACUACGGUGCUGAAGUAACAAAUGCCCUGCUUCCAGGAAAAGCCUCUAAGCAUCAGGUAACAUCAAAUCGUACCCCAAACCGACACAGGUGGUCAGGUAGAGAAUACCAAGGCGCUUGAGAGAACUCGGGUGAAGGAACUAGGCAAAAUGGUGCCGUAACUUCGGGAGAAGGCACGCUGAUAUGUAGGUGAAGCCCCUGCGGGUGGAGCUGAAAUCAGUCGAAGAUACCAGCUGGCUGCAACUGUUUAUUAAAAACACAGCACUGUGCAAACACGAAAGUGGACGUAUACGGUGUGACGCCUGCCCGGUGCCGGAAGGUUAAUUGAUGGGGUUAGCGGCAACGCGAAGCUCUUGAUCGAAGCCCCGGUAAACGGCGGCCGUAACUAUAACGGUCCUAAGGUAGCGAAAUUCCUUGUCGGGUAAGUUCCGACCUGCACGAAUGGCGUAAUGAUGGCCAGGCUGUCUCCACCCGAGACUCAGUGAAAUUGAACUCGCUGUGAAGAUGCAGUGUACCCGCGGCAAGACGGAAAGACCCCGUGAACCUUUACUAUAGCUUGACACUGAACACUGGUCCUUGAUGUGUAGGAUAGGUGGGAGGCUUUGAAGCGUGGACGCCAGUCUGCGUGGAGCCAACCUUGAAAUACCACCCUUUAAUGGCUGGUGUUCUAACGUAGACCCGUGAUCCGGGUUGCGGACAGUGUCUGGUGGGUAGUUUGACUGGGGCGGUCUCCUCCCAAAGAGUAACGGAGGAGCACGAAGGUUAGCUAAUCCUGGUCGGACAUCAGGAGGUUAGUGCAAUGGCAUAAGCUAGCUUGACUGCGAGAGUGACGGCUCGAGCAGGUGCGAAAGCAGGUCAUAGUGAUCCGGUGGUUCUGAAUGGAAGGGCCAUCGCUCAACGGAUAAAAGGUACUCCGGGGAUAACAGGCUGAUACCGCCCAAGAGUUCAUAUCGACGGCGGUGUUUGGCACCUCGAUGUCGGCUCAUCACAUCCUGGGGCUGAAGUAGGUCCCAAGGGUAUGGCUGUUCGCCAUUUAAAGUGGUACGCGAGCUGGGUUUAGAACGUCGUGAGACAGUUCGGUCCCUAUCUGCCGUGGGCGCUGGAGAAUUGAGGGGGGCUGCUCCUAGUACGAGAGGACCGGAGUGGACGCAUCACUGGUGUUCGGGUUGUCAUGCCAAUGGCACUGCCCGGUAGCUAAAUGCGGAAAAGAUAAGUGCUGAAAGCAUCUAAGCACGAAACUUGCCCCGAGAUGAGUUCUCCCUGACCCUUUAAGGGUCCUGAAGGAACGUUGAAGACUACGACGUUGAUAGGUCGGGUGUGUAAGCGCAGCGAUGCGUUGAGCUAACCGAUACUAAUGAACCGUGAGGCUUAACCUU